rnacentral:rRNA from 1 species
GAUGAACGCUGGCGGCGUGCCUAAUACAUGCAAGUCGAGCGAACGGACGAGAAGCUUGCUUCUCUGAUGUUAGCGGCGGACGGGUGAGUAACACGUGGAUAACCUACCUAUAAGACUGGGAUAACUUCGGGAAACCGUAGCUAAUACCGGAUAAUAUUUUGAACCGCAUGGUUCAAAAGUGAAAGACGGUCUUGCUGUCACUUAUAGAUGGAUCCGCGCUGCAUUAGCUAGUUGGUAAGGUAACGGCUUACCAAGGCAACGAUGCAUAGCCGACCUGAGAGGGUGAUCGGCCACACUGGAACUGAGACACGGUCCAGACUCCUACGGGAGGCAGCAGUAGGGAAUCUUCCGCAAUGGGCGAAAGCCUGACGGAGCAACGCCGCGUGAGUGAUGAAGGUCUUCGGAUCGUAAAACUCUGCUAUUAGGGAAGAACAUAUGUGUAAGUAACUGUGCACAUCUUGACGGUACCUAAUCAGAAAGCCACGGCUAACUACGUG